AUUGAACGCUGGCGGCAUGCCUUACACAUGCAAGUCGAACGGCAGCACGGGAGCAAUCCUGGUGGCGAGUGGCGAACGGGUGAGUAAAGUAUCGGAACGUGCCCAGUCGUGGGGGAUAACGUAGCGAAAGUUACGCUAAUACCGCAUACGAUCUAUGGAUGAAAGCGGGGGAUCGCAAGACCUCGCGCGAUUGGAGCGGCCGAUAUCAGAUUAGGUAGUUGGUGGGGUAAAGGCCCACCAAGCCGACGAUCUGUAGCUGGUCUGAGAGGACGACCGGCCACACUGGGACUGAGACACGGCCCAGACUCCUACGGGAGGCAGCAGUGGGGAAUUUUGGACAAGGGGCGAAAGCCUGAUCCAGCCAUGCCGCGUGCAGGAUGAAGGCCUUCGGGUUGUAAACUGCUUUUGUACAGAACGAAAAGGACUGCCCUAAUACGGUGGUCCCAUGACGGUACCGUAAGAAUAAGCACCGGCUAACUACGUGCCAGCAGCCGCCGUAA
rnacentral:rRNA from 1 species